rnacentral:tRNA from 3 species
GCGCCCGUAGCUCAGCUGGAUAGAGUACCUGACUACGAAUCAGGGGGUCGCACGUUCGAAUCGUGCCGGGCGCGCCA